CAGUAGCCACGGGAAUACGUAGGUGGCAAGCGUUGUCCGGAAUUAUUGGGCGUAAAGGGCUCGCAGGCGGUUUCUUAAGUCUGAUGUGAAAGCCCCCGGCUCAACCGGGGAGGGUCAUUGGAAACUGGGAAACUUGAGUGCAGGAGAGGAGAGUGGAAUUCCACGUGUAGCGGUGAAAUGCGUAGAGAUGUGGAGGAACACCAGUGGCGAAGGCGACUCUCUGGUCUGUAACUGACGCUGAGGAGCGAAAGCGUGGGGAGCGAACAGGAUUAGAUACCCCUGUAGUCCCUGUCUCUUAUAC
rnacentral:rRNA from 1 species